CAGGGGUAGUUUCUGCUCCAUGAUUAGUAUUUAAAUAGCCGCAGUAUAUUAACUGUGCUAAGGUAGCAUAAUAAUUUGUCUUUUAAUUAGAGACUGGAAUAAACGAGAGGACAAUACUAAAUCUUUUUAAAUUUAAAAACUGGAAAUUUAUUUUUGCAUCAAAAAGUGCAACUUUUUAAAAAGACGAUAAGACCCUAUAAAACUUUAUUUACUAAGAAUUAUAGUAUUAUUUAGAAAAUAAAAACUUACUUUCAAGCGAAUUAAGCUGGGGCGGCACCUAAAAAAUCUUUAGAAUUAAAAACACUAAUAAUUGAAUAUCUCCAAGAUCCUGAAAUAAGAAUUUAGACCAAGUUACUUUAGGGAUAACAGCACAAUUUUUCCAUAUAGUUCUUAUAGAAGGAAAAGACUUGUGACCUCGAUGUUGAAUUGAAGAAUCUUAUUUAAGCAGAAAUAAAUUAAGAGAGUCUGUUCGACUUUUAAAUCUUC
rnacentral:rRNA from 1 species